AUUAAACGCUGGCGGCAUGCCUUACACAUGCAAGUCGAACGGCAGCACGGGGGCAACCCUGGUGGCGAGUGGCGAACGGGUGAGUAAAGCAUCGGAACGUGCCCUGGAGUGGGGGAUAACGUAGCGAAAGUUACGCUAAUACCGCAUAUUCUGUGAGCAGGAAAGCAGGGGAUCGCAAGACCUUGCGCUCUGGGAGCGGCCGAUGUCGGAUUAGCUAGUUGGUGGGGUAAAGGCCUACCAAGGCGACGAUCCGUAGCGGGUCUGAGAGGAUGAUCCGCCACACUGGGACUGAGACACGGCCCAGACUCCUACGGGAGGCAGCAGUGGGGAAUUUUGGACAAUGGGCGAAAGCCUGAUCCAGCCAUGCCGCGUGAGUGAAGAAGGCCUGGUUGUAAGA
rnacentral:rRNA from 1 species